GAAGUUUGUCUGAGGUCCCAUAACCAGGACUCAACUCAGGUCUGCUUGAUCUCAUAGCCUCAGCUCACCACCGCCAGGCCACACCACCACACACACUCAGGGGUCGCCAGCCUUCAGGCCGCAGGCCACUAUCUCCUCUCAGUAAAAGGCAGAGAGAUCUGAAGAGCUGAGAGUGACAGGUACUUGCCUGUAUUUCCGUGGAUUGAUUCCAGUGGCAACAUUCUUCAGCAACAACCUGAGGAAGAAUCGACUUUUUGAUUUAGCCCUUAUGAUUCAGAGAAGAAACAAUAUGAAGAUUUUUGCCUUUAGAAGAUGAAAGAUUAGAAAGAGAAUGUAGAAUUUAAAUGGAUCCUUAUUUUUCCUAUGCAGGCAUGACUGACCCCAGCAGCUUCACUCAUUGCUUUCAAAUUCUAUCACUCAUCUGAAACGACGUGAUUCUUCUGCCUUCAGGAGUUUUGCUUGGCCUGCAGUACAUAGUCCUUCUGCAGGUAUCUGAGGAAGAAAUGUACCAUAGCUUCAUCUGCUCAGUCCUCUCCUAAGGGACUUCCUCUCUUAGGUAACCUAGAGCACGAGAUUUUGCUUUGCAAGAAAAUACAGAAUUGCAGUUAUUCCUCCAACAAUGAAUACCUGAUUGACUGAUAAUCAAGCAUAUGCCC
ensembl:lncRNA